rnacentral:rRNA from 1 species
UGGGCGAGAUCCUGAUCCAGCCCUGCCGUCGUGCAGGAAGACUCCCUUAUGGGUUGUAUACUGCUUUUAUACAGGAAGAAUAAGCCUUACGUGUAAUGUGACUGACGGUUCUGUAAGAAUAAGGACCGGCUAACUCCGUGCCAGCAGCCGCGGUAAUACGGAGGGUCCGUGCGUUAUCCGGAAUUAUUGCGUUUAAAGGGUCCGUAGGCGGAUGAUUAAGUCAGGGGUGAAAGYYUGCAGCUCAACUGUAAAAUUGCCUUUGAUACUGGUCAUCUUGUGUUGUAUUGAAGUAGGCGGAAUAUGUUGUGUAGCGGUGAAAUGCAUAGAUAUUACAUAGAACACCAAUUGCGAAGGCAGCUUACUAAGAACUAACUGACGCUGAGGGACGAAAGCGUGGGUAGCGAACAGGAUUAGAUACCCUGGUAGUCCACGCCGUAAACGAUGGAUACUAGCUGUUCGGGACCUUGAGUUCUGWGCGGCUAAGCGACAGU